rnacentral:misc_RNA from 1 species
GAGCAACAUAAACCCUAAAUCUUAGAUUCUUAGCUAUUGCUUCUCACUUUCAAAACCCUAAAACCCCUAAAAGAGAGACAAUACAAUCGAAUUGGAUUCGCCGCCUCGCCGCCGUAAAGAGAAAAAUGGUACUGAAGCUAUUCGAGGAUGACGGUGAUGAGCUGGACAAGAUUGAGAUUAACGAGGAAUUCGCCCGCCGGUACGAGCACAACAAGAAAAGAGAAGACUUGCAAAAGCUGGAAGAGUUGAAGAAGAAAGGCAUAGUUGAUGACUCCGACGCAGGAUCCGAUGAGGAAGACGAUGAAGAAGAAGAGGAUCUGGAUACUUCAAGUAAUUUAAAGUUCUUUGAUGGUUUGCUUAAGAUUAAAAAAGGUGACCCUGUUUUGAAUACUAAAGAUGCUAAGUUAUUUAAUUCUGAAUCUGAAACUAAUUCUGAGUCGGAGGAGGAUGAAGAAAAGGAGAAGAAAGUGAAAAAGAAAAAGCAAAAGCCAAUGUAUUUGAAGGAUGUAGCCUCUAAGCAUUUGAUUGAGGAGGGUCCCGAAUUCGGAGACGAAGAGGAAGAGAACAAAGUGAAGACGUAUAACGAGGAGCAAGAUGAUUUGAGAAACGAGUUCUUAAAUGCUGUUAAGGAUGAGGAAGAAGAAGAGGGGGACUUGUUUAAGAUGAAAGAGGCUGAGAAAGAUGAGGAGGAGGGUGACCCUGAGUUUACUAAGAAGUUGGAUGAGUUUUUCGGGGAGGAUGAUAAGCUCGAUGAGCAGACGGUGUUUUUAAAGGAUUUUUUUAGGAAGGAGAUGUGGAGGGAUGAUAAGGGAAGUAGUAAGAAAGGGGAUGAAAAGAUUGAGGAGGCGGAAUUUUCGGAGGAUGAGGAGGAGAUUGAGAGACAAGAGGAUUAUGAGAGGGAGUUUAAUUUUAGAUUCGAAGAAAAUGCAGGUGAUCGAGUGUGGGGACAUUCAAGGAAGGUGGAGGGAUCAGUGAGGAAGAAGCCGAAUGCGAGGAAGUUGCAGAGGGAGAGAAAGGAAGAGAGAAUGGUGCAGGCGGAAGAGGAGAGAAAAGAGGAGUUGAAACGAUUGAAGAAUCUGAAGAAGAAGGAGAUGAAGGAGAAGCUUGAGAAGAUUAAGGAGACUGCUGGGAUAGGAGAUGACGGGGUUUGUUUGUUGGAUAUGGAUGAUUUGGAGGAGGAAUUUGAUCCAGACAAGUACGAUAGAAAGAUGACGGCGUCUUUUGGUGAUGCCUACUAUGACGGAGAUGAUAUAGAUCCUGAAUUCGGAAAUGAUGAGGAUGAACUUGAAAAGCCAGAUUUUGACAAGGAAGAUGAGUUACUGGGACUCCCCAAGGGAUGGGAUAAUGUGGACGAGCCUCGUGAUGGGUUUUUGUCAACUAGGGAAAAACUUCUGAAAGCUAUAGAAACUGAAGGUGAUCACGAGCAAACAACUGAUGACAAUAAAGUAAGUGCAGAUGACGAUGAGGCUGCUGAAGAUGGUAAAAGAAAGAAGAAACGGAAGCGAACUAAUACAGUUAUGAAGGCAGUUAGAGAAGAACUAAUGGAGGAGUAUUAUAAAUUGGACUAU